AGUGGGGACACCGCAGAUCCGGAAGUGGCGCUGUGGAGAGAGAGUGCCUGCGGGUGGAGAAAGGUCCACUCGGGUGGAAAGCACCGAGGGCCCCAGGUCCAAUGAGGAGGAAGAAAGAAGGUCCUAAUAUUUAAACGCCUGAAAAACAAGUGGUUAUUGUUUUUCUUGGGAAAUGGAAGGCCUGGAAAGCGGAACUUGGGUUCAGUGGGCCGGGCAAUAGCAAUAAGGCGGCAGUAAAUUGCAACCAAAGUCAAGAAACUCAAGCUCCUAAUUUCGGGAAAAUAUACACUGGGUUUAAAGGAAUAGCAUAGGACAUGCUGCCUAAUUUUUGACCAGUAUCUCUUAUUUUUGGUAACCUCUGAAGAAAACACCUACUACUUCGUUUUGAAAAUAGACUUUCCUUGUGAAGCUAUUAAAAUGCUCACUCACGGAGCUAUAUUAAUAGUGAUACUAAAUAGUGGGCUGAAUUGUGCCCCAGCGAAAGAUAAGGCCACAUCCUAAUCCAGAGAACCUGUGGCUAUUACCUUAUAAGGUAAAAGAUUGAAAACUACCUUAAAUGGCAAAAUAUGUGAUUAAGAAUUUUCAGAGGAAGAGCCUCUCCUGGAUUUUCUAGGUGGACCCUAAAUCCAGUGACAAGUGUUCUUAUAAGAGUGAGACAAAGGAAGAUAACAGACAGAAAAGGAGGAGGCAGUGUGACCACAGAGGCAGAGACUGGAGUGAUGCAGCUAUGAGUCAAGAAAUGCCAAGAGCCUCCAGAAGCUGGAAGAGGCAGAAACUGAUUCCUCCUCUACAGCCUCCAGAGGGACUGCAGCCCUGCUGAUGCCUUGAUUUCAGACUUCUGGCCUCCAAAACUACAGGAGAAUAAAUUUUGUUGUUUUAAGCCA